rnacentral:rRNA from 1 species
GACGAACGCUGGCGGCGUGCUUAACACAUGCAAGUCGAACGGAAAGGCCCUGCUUGCAGGGUACUCGAGUGGCGAACGGGUGAGUAACACGUGGGUGAUCUGCCCUGCACUUCGGGAUAAGCCUGGGAAACUGGGUCUAAUACCGGAUAGGAGCCAUUUUUAGUGUGAUGGUUGGAAAGUUUUUUCGGUGUAGGAUGAGCUCGCGGCCUAUCAGCUUGUUGGUGGGGUAAUGGCCUACCAAGGCGGCGACGGGUAGCCGGCCUGAGAGGGUGGACGGCCACAGUGGGACUGAGAUACAGCCCAGACUCCUACGGGAGGCAGCAGUGGGGAAUAUUGCACAAUGGGCGCAAGCCUGAUGCAGCGACGCCGCGUGGGGGAUGACGGCCUUCGGGUUGUAAACUCCUUUCGCUAGGGACGAAGCUUUUUGUGACGGUACCUAGAUAAGAAGCACCGGCUAACUACGUG